UGGAGAGGCUACCGGGCCCUGAGCUGGCAUUGGACUCCCAGGGCCCUGGCUUCUUCUCU
ensembl:miRNA